GACGAACGCUGGCGGCGUGCUUAACACAUGCAAGUCGAACGCUGAAGACCUGGCUUUUGUUGGGUUGGAUGAGUGGCGAACGGGUGAGUAACACGUGAGUAACCUGCCCUCUUCUUUGGGAUAACGCCCGGAAACGGGUGCUAAUACUGGAUAUUCACUGAUCUUCGCAUGGGGGUUGGUGGAAAGGCUUGUUCUGGUGGGGGGUGGGCUCGCGGCCUAUCAGCUUGUUGGUGGGGUGAUGGCCUACCAAGGCUUUGACGGGUAGCCGGCCGGAGAGGGUGACCGGUCACCUUGGGACUGAGCCACGGCCCAGACUCCUGCAGCAGGGAGCAGUGGGGGACAUUGCACGAUGGGCGAAAGCCUGAUGCACCGGCGCCGCGUGAGGGAUGGAGGCCUUCGGGUUGUAAACCUCUUUCGCUCAUGGUCAAGCCGCAACUGUGGGUUGUGGUGAGGGUAGUGGGUAAAGAAGCGCCGGCUAACUACGUG
rnacentral:rRNA from 1 species